UAUUCAAUGUGAAAAGUGGAAAAAUUGCACUUUCACAGCUCUGUAAAUAUCAGCGGAAAUACAUCCAUCAAACUGUGCAUGAUUUUCCAUUUUCUUGUGCAUAUAGGAGGGGGGGGACAUUCUAAACAGGAUUACAGUGCUGCUGAAAGCCUGAAAACUAUCAGCGCUCCAUUAGCUACAAAGGCCAUCUCCUGUUACACCCUCAGCAUCCAGGGGAUCGAUUUCUGGGCUUGGGUUUGCUCUCCAUGGGCCUCAAAUGGCAGACAAGAAGGGAGUUGGAGGUAAUAAUAUACAUGCUGACGAGCUGCCCCCCCAGAAGAGCAAAGACAAAAGCAAAAGGGAGUGGUGGGAUGGAAGGGUAGAAGAUGAAAGCAGUUGCUACUGAAAACACUGCAGCCAGAAGAGCAGAAGAGCCUGGAAGCGUGACUGAAGAUAUAAAGGAGAGAAGAUGUAAAGAGGCUAGGUUACAGAGGAAGGCCAGGAAGAAAGAAGUUGAGGAUGAUUCCAAAAAGAGCUCUUAUGAAGAAGAAUUGGAGAAAAAGGAAAAAGACAUGUGACUGCAGAUGUCCUGCUCUGUAAUGAUAUGACUGACCUGUCAAAGGAGUGGAACUGCAUGGGCAGCAUAGGAUGGGUCUUCAAGGCAGGGUCUGGGUGGUACGGUGUUGGUCCGGACUCCUGACCCAGUUCUGUGCCGUCAAUGGGAGCAGCCACCAAGCUCUUCAGGAUCUCCUGCAUUUCAGGGAAAUAAUAAAAUCUGGUGAACAAUGAAUUAUUACUGUGGACACAAUUUGAUUUGUGUCUAAAAAAAAAGAGAAAUAGAUCGAAGGAAGAUUUAAACUAUGAAAGCACAGCCUGUCAGCAGAGAGAUGGAUGAAGGAGGGGCUUGGCUCGAGUUCGGAGUGGAUCUGGGCUCAUGGGGAGAAUCCAGAAGGCUCUCCUGCGACCUUCGCACAUCAGACAGACUGCACAGAAGAUCUGUGCCUCCUCCCCCACUUCCUCCCAC